GGAGAGGUGGCCGAGCGGCUGAAGGCGCUCCCCUGCUAAGGGAGUGUAGGCUUUAUAUCCUACCGAGGGUUCGAAUCCCUCCUUCUCCGCCA
rnacentral:tRNA from 1 species